rnacentral:rRNA from 1 species
UACAGAGGUGGCAAGCGUUGUUCGGAAUUACUGGGCGUAAAGGGCGCGUAGGCGGCCCGUCAAGUCCCGUGUGAAAGCCCCCGGCUCAACCGGGGAACGGCGCGGGAAACUAGCAGGCUUGAGUUCGGGAGAGGGAAGCGGAAUUCCGGGUGUAGCGGUGAAAUGCGCAGAUAUCCGGAGGAACACCGGUGGCGAAGGCGGCUCUCUGGUCCGAAACUGACGCUGAGGUGCGAAAGCUAGGGUAGCAAACAGG